rnacentral:rRNA from 1 species
AUUGAACGCUGGCGGCAGGCCUAACACAUGCAAGUCGAACGGACCCUUCGGGGUUAGUGGCGGACGGGUGAGUAACACGUGGGAACGUGCCUUUAGGUUCGGAAUAGCUCCUGGAAACGGGUGGUAAUGCCGAAUGUGCCCUUCGGGGGAAAGAUUUAUCGCCUUUAGAGCGGCCCGCGUCUGAUUAGCUAGUUGGUGAGGUAAAGGCUCACCAAGGCGACGAUCAGUAGCUGGUCUGAGAGGAUGACCAGCCACAUUGGGACUGAGACACGGCCCAAACUCCUACGGGAGGCAGCAGUGGGGAAUCUUGCGCAAUGGGCGAAAGCCUGACGCAGCCAUGCCGCGUGAAUGACGAAGGUCUUAGGAUUGUAAAAUUCUUUCACCGGGGACGAUAAUGACGGUACCCGGAGAAGAAGCCCCGGCUAACUUCGUGCCAGCCGCCGCAGUAAAAC